UACGUAGGCAGCGAGCGUUGUUCGGAGUUACUGGGCGUAAAGGGUGUGUAGGCGGUUCUUUAAGUUUGGCGUGAAAUCUCCCGGCUCAACCGGGAGGGUGCGCCGAAUACUGAGGGACUAGAGUGCGGGAGAGGAAAGUGGAAUUCCUGGUGUAGCGGUGAAAUGCGUAGAUAUCAGGAGGAACACCGGUGGUGUAGACGGCUUUCUGGACCGUAACUGACGCUGAGACACGAAAGCGUGGGUAGCAAACAGG
rnacentral:rRNA from 1 species